rnacentral:rRNA from 1 species
UUUGGGGCUCGGCAUACUGCUCAGUAACACGUGGAUCAUCUGCCCUAUUGUCUGGAAUAACCUCGGGAAACUGAGAACAAGGCCGGAUAACCCACAAUGCCUGGAACGGUUUGUGGGUGAAGAUAGGAUGGGUCUGCGGCGUAUCAGGUCGUAGGGGGUGUAAUGGACCUCCUAGCCAUCGACGCGUACGGGUGUUGGGAGACAUAGCCCGGAGAUGGAUUCUGAGACACGAAUCCAGACCCUACGGGGUGCAGCAGGCGCGAAAACUUCACACUGCAGGAAACUGUGAUGAGGGAACUCCAAGCGCAUGCACUAUGUGUAUGCUUUUCUUAACUAUUAAACGGUUUUGGAAUAAGGGCUGGGAAAGACCGGUGCCAGCCGCCGCGGUAAUACCGGCAGCUCAAGUGGUCGUCGCUUUUAUUGGGCCUAAAACGUCCGUAGCCUGUUUGGUAAAUCUGUGGGUAAAUCAACCAGCUUAACUGGUUGAAUUCUGCAGAGACUGCCAGACUAGGGACCGGGAGAGGUGUGGGGUACUCUAGGGGUAGGGGUAAAAUCCUGUCAUCCUUAGAGGACCACCAGUUGCGAAGGCGCCACACUGGAACGGAUCCGACGGUCAGGGACGAAGCCUAGGGGCACGAACCGGAUUAGAUACCCGGGUAGUCCUAGGUGUAAACGCUGUGAACUUGGUGUCGGGGAUCCGUAAUGGGUUCUCGGUGCCGGAGUGAAGAUGUUAAGUUCACUGCCUGGGGAGUACGGU